ACAACGGAGAGUUUGAUCCUAGCUCAGGAUGAACGCUAGCGGCGGACUUAACACAUGCAAGUCGAGGGGCAGCAUAAAUAAAUAAAUUUUUUAUUUAUUUGAUGGCGACCGGCGAACGGGUGAGUAACACGUACGUAAUCUACCUUUUGCAAGAAAAUAGGCUGAGGAAACUUAGAUUAAUGUUCUAUAAUAUAAUAAUGUUGGAUAACAUUAUUAUUAAAGCUUAAUUUAAAUAUUAAUUUAAAUUUUGUGGCAAAAGAUGAGCGUGCGUCUGAUUAGUUAGUUGGUAAGG
rnacentral:rRNA from 1 species